GUGCCAGCAGCCGCGGUAAUACGUAGGUGGCAAGCGUUAUCCGGAAUUAUUGGGCGUAAAGCGCGCGUAGUCGGUUUUUUAAGUCUGAUGUGAAGCCCACGGCUCAACCGUGGAGGGUCAUUGGAAACUGGAAAACUUGAGUGCAGAAGAGGAAAGUGGAAUUCCAUGUGUAGCGGUGAAAUGCGCAGAGAUAUGGAGGAACACCAGUGGCGAAGGCGACUUUCUGGUCUGUAACUGACGCUGAUGUGCGAAAGCGUGGGGAUCAAACAGGA
rnacentral:rRNA from 1 species